GACGAACGCUGGCGGCGUGCUUAACACAUGCAAGUCGAACGGUGAAGCGCCUUCCUUUUUGGUGGGUGUGGAUGAGUGGCGAACGGGUGAGUAACACGUGAGUAACCUGCCCCCUUCUUCUGGAUAACCGCAUGAAAGUGUGGCUAAUACGGGAUAUUCUGCGUCUGUCGCAUGAUGGGUCUGGGAAAGAUAUUGUUUCGGUGGGGGAUGGGCUCGCGGCCUAUCAGCUUGUUGGUGGGGUGAUGGCCUACCAAGGCGGUGGCGGGUAGCCGGCCUGGGAGGGUGGACGGCCACACUGGGAGUGAGGCACGGCCGAGACUGCUACGGGGGGCAGCAGUGGGGAGUAGUGCACAAUGGGCGAAAGCCUGAUGCAGCGGCGCCGCGUGAGGGAUGGAGGCCUGCGGGUUGUGAACCUCUUUCGCCAGUGAAGCAGGCCUGCCUCGUUUGUGGGUGGGUUGACGGUAGCUGGAUAAGAAGCGCCGGCUAACUACGUG
rnacentral:rRNA from 1 species